UACAGCGUGCAAGUGGUUUGUUUUUCCCCUUCUUGCGCAUGCCAGCAAGCAAAAAGCAGGGAGGAGCUGGAUUUCAUGUCAAAAUGACUCUGAGGCAAAAUGAGUUCCAGACAUGAUCUCAUGCAGCUGCAAUGAAGAAGAAAACAUACGGCCCAGCAAAGCGGGGGAGACAGGAGGAAAGAGGAGAAGGAGGAGGGAAGUGUUGUUUGUGGUCAGCCAGUCUGUAGGAUUUGAGUGUUAAGACUUGAGGCUGACUUGUUUUGCAAGACAAUUACUUGUUCCCGCCUCUGCGAACGCUGUGCUCUUAAAAGUGCGUAGUGCCAAGUCAGCAAGUCUCCGUAAAUACUAAGAGUGAGUUUAAUGGUGAGUAACGAUUAAGUCAGCUUUUGGAAGCAUUCAUUACUAUCAUUAUGUGUUAUUCUUUACUCAUGAAUCACAUUAUUACCAUAACCAUGUGUGUUAUCUGAAUUUUAGGGGCUUUUUAAUAUUUAGAAGGAGCUUAUUCAUAUUUGAAGGUAUGCAACCCAAAAAAACCCCAGCAGACUAAGACUAAGGAGCACCAAAACCUCCAGAAGAUGUUCACCUUUCUUUACUUAGACAGGAAUGCAGGGAAAAAUGCGUCUCAGACGAGACGAGAUGUGAAUCUCACCGAAACAACCAGCCUACUUUGAUGGCACUGCUAGCCAGAUGUUGUACAGAUGUAGAAAACUUAAAUUUCCACACCAAGUUACAGAUUCGCCACAGCAAGACUGUGUGAUACUGUCAUAGACCACAAGGCUAAAUUCGCAUUACUUACUCUGAAAGUAAAAGUUUAUUGCUCCGCGCUGCAGAGCGAGUUCAGACAUUCCUUAAGCGAUGAAACAUUUGUCUUCGGCAAACCUUUAUCUUACAUGAGCUUUUCAUAUUCAAUAUUCAAUAUAAAGCCAAAGCCAAAAACAAAACAAACAAAAACAGUCUUCCACAGCCUUUGUCUUAUUUUAGAAAAUGAAUGACUUAAUAGUAGUAGAUUUUGUUUUUAAAGGAGGAAAUAAUUUUCGGACAUGAAAUAAUAAAAAUGCCAAAAAAUCUUUUCAUGUCGGUAAAAAGGCAUUCCAGUUCACAUGUCACAGUCCGUCAAUCACUAAAGCCAGACAGGACUGAGAAAUAAAACACAGGAAUUCAUUAGUUGCGGAAAUGGCCACAAGCACUUUGAAGCUCUGUAAUGAGACACGGAGCAUGCACAAUCUCGAUAAUUACUAUGCAGCUACACAAAUUCCAAACAGUGUAUUCCACAGGGAAAUUGGGUAGCAAUGCUACAUGCUCACAUUUUCAUUAACAGUGUACUAUUAUUUCAAAAUGUUGUCACUGUGUGUUUCUUACUCUAGUUUCUCCGAGUUAACACUAUAAGACACCUGACCAAUUACACCCAUAUAUGCUUUAUGAACAACCCAUUCCAGAUUUAGUACACACUUUCUAUUACAAUCUAUCUCUACUCUUCUGGGAAGGUUAUGCACUAGAUUUUGGAGUGUGGUUGUGUGGAUUUUCUCACUGAGCCACAAGAGCGAGGUCAGGAACUGAUGGCAGGUGAGGAGGCUUGGGGCACAGUUGGCAUUCCAAUUCAUCCCAAAGGUGAGUUCUUUCACUCCAACCUUGGCAAACCAUGUUUUUAUGGACCUCAAUUUGUGCACAGGGGCAUUGUCAUGUUGGAACAGGUUUGGGCCUCUUAGUUCCAGUGAAGGGAAAUUGCAACGCGUACAAAGACAUUAAAGACAACUGUGUGCUUCAAACUUGCUGGCAACAGUUUGAGGAAGGGUAAUGGUCAGAUGCCGACAAACUUUUGACCAUAUAGUGUAUCUGUGUAUGGACUCUCUACCUAUCAUCCUCAAAAAAUAUGGUGUGCCAUCUAUGACUAUCGGAAGCAAAAAUUAGGCAUGGUCUCUGUACCCGUCAGUCCCAAAAAUGAGGCGUGGCUAUGGAGUCUGUCAGGUGUAAUGAAGGAAGUGUGGCCUCCCAAUCCAUAAAGCUCUAAAUUGCACUUAUAUUAAUUAAAAUUAAAUAUUAUAUCAUAAUUUUAUUGCAAAACAUUGCUACUUUGUGUCAUAUUGUUGUUUAAAUGCAUUCAUUCUGACUUUUUCUGUAUUAUUUUGGUAAGACCAAAAAGACUUAACAUAUAAAAAGGUACUGACUGCAACAAUAAAUGUUAAAUCACCCGGGUCAUUAUCCUUGUCUUCUGGCUUUUGUGUGGUUUCAGUAUGAGCAAGUUGAGUGGUCUGAGCCUCAGUAGGGGCAGCUACAGGCGGCAGAGGAGGCUCCACGAUCACCCGGAAGAUGCGUCUCUCGUGCAGGCCGCAGUAGUGAUGGUGCAGAUGGCAGGAGUAUAGACCUUUAUCAGAUGGCUGAAUGUCAUUAAUUGUGAGGGAGAAAUCCCCCAUGCUGAAGGCAUCAUCUGCGAUGAGCAUCUUGCUGAGGUACAAUGGCCUGUACUCCCGCUUCUCUCCAGAGGCGUACAGAUCGAGAAGCCGGUCUGCCUGGUGAUGCCUCACCCCCGGACCCUGAAAGUCCCAGUGCACAACCUGCUGCUGGUCUUCUUGGAGCCCUCCCCUCCAAAGAGGGCGUCGGUUUAUACAAGGCAAGACCACGCUGCUGCCCUCCAACACCACAAAGACAGACUUCUCCCCAUUCCAUACACGCCUCUCCUUACGUGCUGCAGGACAGAAGUUUAAGACGAGGAGUUAUUGCAACAUAUAAUAUAUUUAUUCAGCAAAUAAUACGAGUGAGGUUUUUUAUAUGUUCCUAGCCACCAGUGUUCAAAAGAAUGUUGAACUUGACCAUGAUAAAUAUGAAUGCAAAUACCAGAAAUUCAGAAGAAAAAAUGCUAAAAAAAAAUAUCGCAGGUUUAUAAACUGCCAUAGUGAUAAAAUGAUGAGGUAAUAAACUGUGAUGGAAACAGAACAGCAGAAAGAUGAGUACAUAGCAAGUUUGUGUUCCUGUCGAUUUGGGUCUAGUUACUUGACUACUGAGUGCUGCAUAACAGCAGUUAGUGUAAAUACACAAUGUUUCACACUGCUCUAUUAAUGAGCUUGCUGGAAUUCACAUUAAACUUACAAAACAUUUGGUUCUAAAUUUGCCCAGGCUUUCAUGUAAUUUUGUGAUGGCUUAUAGAUUUAUAACACAGUAAUAAGCUGGACUUCACUACUUAACAGACAACAAAGAAUAUAAAAGUACAACGUAAAUAAUACACUAAAUAGAAUAGAACGUACGUGACUUGGUGACGUUUAACUGGAUUUGAAUGGAUUGGUCGAUCUUGCAGUAAUGGUGAUGCAGGUUGCAAGUAUAGAUGCCUUUAUCGUUCAUAUCAACAUCUGCACACAAUCGAACAAAAUCGCAACAACUUUAGUGAGGACAAAAAUAUAACGUCAACCACUUUGCAGAAUCAGGAGGAUCAUACUAUGGAUGGUGAGAGAGAAGUUGCCAUCAUCAAAUGCUUCUUUGGAGACAGUGACCCGGCCCUUGUUGUAGGCGUUAUAGACACGCUCCGGCCCUCCUGAGAACAUGUCUAGAACACGCUCAACUGUGUAAUCAGGGCGGUUGCGGUUCAGG